GACGAACGCUGGCGGCGUGCUUAACACAUGCAAGUCGAACGGAAAGGCCCUGCUUUUGUGGGGUGCUCGAGUGGCGAACGGGUGAGUAACACGUGAGUAACCUGCCCUUGACUUUGGGAUAACUUCAGGAAACUGGGGCUAAUACCGGAUAGGAGCUCCUGCUGCAUGGUGGGGGUUGGAAAGUUUCGGCGGUUGGGGAUGGACUCGCGGCUUAUCAGCUUGUUGGUGGGGUAGUGGCUUACCAAGGCUUUGACGGGUAGCCGGCCUGAGAGGGUGACCGGCCACAUGGGGACUGAGAUACGGCCCAGACUCGUACGGGAGGCAGCAGUGGGGAAUAUGGCACAAUGGGCGGAAGCCUGAUGCAGCAACGCCGCGUGCGGGAUGACGGCCUUCGGGUUGUAAACCGCUUUCGCCUGUGACGAAGCGUGAGUGACGGUAAUGGGUAAAGAAGCACCGGCUAACUACGUG
rnacentral:rRNA from 1 species